GGAAUUUUGGACAAUGGGCGCAAGCCUGAUCCAGCAAUGCCGCGUGCAGGAUGAAGGCCUUCGGGUUGUAAACUGCUUUUGUACGGAACGAAACGGCCCUUUCUAAUACAGGGGGUUAAUUACGGUACCGUAAGAAUAAGCACCGGCCCACGCCGUGCCAGCAGCCGCGGUAAUACGUAGGGUGCGAGCGUUGAUCGGAAUUACUGGGCGUAAAGCGUGCGCAGGCGGUUAUGUAAGACAGAUGUGAAAUCCCCGGGCUCAACCUGGGACCUGCAUUUGUGACUGCAUAGCUAGAGUACGGUAGAGGGGGAUGGAAUUCCGCGUGUAGCAGUGAAAUGCGUAGAUAUGCGGAGGAACACCGAUGGCGAAGGCAAUCCCCUGGACCUGUACUGACGCUCAUGCACGAAAGCGUGGGGAGCAAAC
rnacentral:rRNA from 1 species